UACGUAGGGGGCAAGCGUUGUCCGGAUUUAUUGGGCGUAAAGAGCGUGUAGGCGGCCAGGUAGGUCAGCUGUGAAAACUCGAGGCUCAACCUCGAGACGCCGGUUGAAACCAUCUGGCUAGAGUCCGGAAGAGGAGAGUGGAAUUCCUGGUGUAGCGGUGAAAUGCGCAGAUAUCAGGAAGAACACCCGUGGCUAAGGCGGCUCUCUAGUACGGUACUGACGCUGAAGCACGCGAAAGCGUGGGGAGCGAACAGG
rnacentral:rRNA from 1 species